GUCUUGGGUCCGAAAUAGCAAAAUACAUGAGACUUAUCUUCCUCAUCAGCUCAUGGCUCUGCAGAGGAUUUCAGAAACAGCAUUUCAUAUCUACUUUCGCCACUUGCCCCUGACAACUGGGAUGUUCCAAAGAGAAACAUUCAAAGUGCUAACCUGGAGGUGGAUUAAUUUCAGCUUGAAAAAACCAUGGUGGGAUUCAAAAUCAGGCUCGUAAUGGAAGAUCUUGCAUCAAACUGAUCUAUGGAAGGAAGAAGCAUCUCCCCAUCUUGUAUUUUCUCUCAGCCAGAGCUAACAAUAACUUUGCCUCAGCUACUGAACAGCUGAGCCAAAAAAACAGAAAGACAAAAGCCAAAGGCAAACCAAAACGACAAGAAGCAGAGACAGCAAAGAAGACAGAGAGAAAAAAACCUACCCCACAUACAAACCUUGCUCUGAAAGCUCAAAGGACUUUUGGCUGAUGUGGACCCAGUUCCAGAUUUGUUUCAGUAUAAGCAACACCAAAGUCAGACCAUGCUGCUCACUUACGGUGUGGUUGUUAUACCUCUACUCCUGGUUUUCUCUUCCUGCCCUUUGUUUUUAUUUUGUAUAAGCAACAGUAGAUUGAAGCAAAAAACAUUUUUAUUUGUCCAGUCUCUAACAUAAUGAAGAGAUGCUGAGAAGGUUGGGGCUGUUCAGCCUGGAGAAGAGAUGGCUGCGUGGAGACCUCAUAGCAGCCUUCCAGUAUCUGAAG